CCUACGGGUGGCAGCAGUGAGGAAUAUUGGUCAAUGGCCGGAAGGCUGAACCAGCCAUGCCGCGUGAAGGUCAGUGCCCUAUGGGCGUUAAACUUCUUUUGUGCGGGAGCAAUAAUGGUCACGUGUGGCCAGACGAGAGUACCGUACGAAUAAGCAUCGGCUAACUCCGUGCCAGCAGGCGCGGGACUGCGGGGGGUGCAAGCGUUAUUCGGAAUUAUUUGGUUUAAAGGGUGCGUAGGCUGUGAGGUAAGUCAGCGGGGAAAUGCCCCUGCUCAACGGGGUGAAGUGCCAUUGAUACUGGCUUGCUGGAAUGCGGAUGCCGUAGGCGGAAUGCGGGGUGUAGCGGUGAAAUGCAUAGAUAUCACACAGAACACCGAUUGCGAAGGCAGCUCACGAAUCCGCGAUUGACGCUGAUGCACGAAAGCGUGGGUAUCAAACAGGAUUAGAUACCCGAGUAGUC
rnacentral:rRNA from 1 species